CGGCGGACGGGUGAGUAACACGUGGAUAACCUACCUAUAAGACUGGGAUAACUUCGGGAAACCGGAGCUAAUACCGGAUAAUAUAUUGAACCGCAUGGUUCAAUAGUGAAAGACGGUUUUGCUGUCACUUAUAGAUGGAUCCGCGUCGCAUUAGCUAGUUGGUAAGGUAACGGCUUACCAAGGCAACGAUGCGUAGCCGACCUGAGAGGGUGAUCGGCCACACUGGAACUGAGACACGGUCCAG
rnacentral:rRNA from 1 species